CGGGACACGUGGUAUCCUGUCUGAAUAUGGGGGGACCAUCCUCCAAGGCUAAAUACUCCUGACUGACCGAUAGUGAACCAGUACCGUGAGGGAAAGGCGAAAAGAACCCCGGCGAGGGGAGUGAAAAAGAACCUGAAACCGUGUACGUACAAGCAGUGGGAGCACGCUUCGGCGUGUGACUGCGUACCUUUUGUAUAAUGGGUCAGCGACUUAUAUUCUGUAGCAAGGUUAACCGAAUAGGGGAGCCGAAGGGAAACCGAGUCUUAACUGGGCGUUAAGUUGCAGGGUAUAGACCCGAAACCCGGUGAUCUAGCCAUGGGCAGGUUGAAGGUUGGGUAACACUAACUGGAGGACCGAACCGACUAAUGUUGAAAAAUUAGCGGAUGACUUGUGGCUGGGGGUGAAAGGCCAAUCAAACCGGGAGAUAGCUGGUUCUCCCCGAAAGCUAUUUAGGUAGCGCCUCGUGAAUUCAUCUCCGGGGGUAGAGCACUGUUUCGGCAAGGGGGUCAUCCCGACUUACCAACCCGAUGCAAACUGCGAAUACCGGAGAAUGUUAUCACGGGAGACACACGGCGGGUGCUAACGUCCGUCGUGAAGAGGGAAACAACCCAGACCGCCAGCUAAGGUCCCAAAGUCAUGGUUAAGUGGGAAACGAUGUGGGAAGGCCCAGACAGCCAGGAUGUUGGCUUAGAAGCAGCCAUCAUUUAAAGAAAGCGUAAUAGCUCACUGGUCGAGUCGGCCUGCGCGGAAGAUGUAACGGGGCUAAACCAUGCACCGAAGCUGCGGCAGCGACACUAUGUGUUGUUGGGUAGGGGAGCGUUCUGUAAGCCUGUGAAGGUGUACUGUGAGGUAUGCUGGAGGUAUCAGAAGUGCGAAUGCUGACAUAAGUAACGAUAAAGCGGGUGAAAAGCCCGCUCGCCGGAAGACCAAGGGUUCCUGUCCAACGUUAAUCGGGGCAGGGUGAGUCGACCCCUAAGGCGAGGCCGAAAGGCGUAGUCGAUGGGAAACAGGUUAAUAUUCCUGUACUUGGUGUUACUGCGAAGGGGGGACGGAGAAGGCUAUGUUGGCCGGGCGACGGUUGUCCCGGUUUAAGCGUGUAGGCUGGUUUUCCAGGCAAAUCCGGAAAAUCAAGGCUGAGGCGUGAUGACGAGGCACUACGGUGCUGAAGCAACAAAUGCCCUGCUUCCAGGAAAAGCCUCUAAGCAUCAGGUAACAUCAAAUCGUACCCCAAACCGACACAGGUGGUCAGGUAGAGAAUACCAAGGCGCUUGAGAGAACUCGGGUGAAGGAACUAGGCAAAAUGGUGCCGUAACUUCGGGAGAAGGCACGCUGAUAUGUAGGUGAAGCGACUUGCUCGUGGAGCUGAAAUCAGUCGAAGAUACCAGCUGGCUGCAACUGUUUAUUAAAAACACAGCACUGUGCAAACACGAAAGUGGACGUAUACGGUGUGACGCCUGCCCGGUGCCGGAAGGUUAAUUGAUGGGGUUAGCGGUAACGCGAAGCUCUUGAUCGAAGCCCCGGUAAACGGCGGCCGUAACUAUAACGGUCCUAAGGUAGCGAAAUUCCUUGUCGGGUAAGUUCCGACCUGCACGAAUGGCGUAAUGAUGGCCAGGCUGUCUCCACCCGAGACUCAGUGAAAUUGAACUCGCUGUGAAGAUGCAGUGUACCCGCGGCAAGACGGAAAGACCCCGUGAACCUUUACUAUAGCUUGACACUGAACAUUGAGCCUUGAUGUGUAGGAUAGGUGGGAGGCUUUGAAGUGUGGACGCCAGUCUGCAUGGAGCCGACCUUGAAAUACCACCCUUUAAUGUUUGAUGUUCUAACGUUGGCCCGUUAUCCGGGUUGCGGACAGUGUCUGGUGGGUAGUUUGACUGGGGCGGUCUCCUCCUAAAGAGUAACGGAGGAGCACGAAGGUUGGCUAAUCCUGGUCGGACAUCAGGAGGUUAGUGCAAUGGCAUAAGCCAGCUUGACUGCGAGCGUGACGGCGCGAGCAGGUGCGAAAGCAGGUCAUAGUGAUCCGGUGGUUCUGAAUGGAAGGGCCAUCGCUCAACGGAUAAAAGGUACUCCGGGGAUAACAGGCUGAUACCGCCCAAGAGUUCAUAUCGACGGCGGUGUUUGGCACCUCGAUGUCGGCUCAUCACAUCCUGGGGCUGAAGUAGGUCCCAAGGGUAUGGCUGUUCGCCAUUUAAAGUGGUACGCGAGCUGGGUUUAGAACGUCGUGAGACAGUUCGGUCCCUAUCUGCCGUGGGCGCUGGAGAACUGAGGGGGGCUGCUCCUAGUACGAGAGGACCGGAGUGGACGCAUCACUGGUGUUCGGGUUGUCAUGCCAAUGGCACUGCCCGGUAGCUAAAUGCGGAAGAGAUAAGUGCUGAAAGCAUCUAAGC
rnacentral:rRNA from 1 species